rnacentral:rRNA from 1 species
GACGAACGCUGGCGGCGUGCUUAACACAUGCAAGUCGAACGGAAAGGCCCUGCUUUUGUGGGGUGCUCGAGUGGCGAACGGGUGAGUAACACGUGAGUAACCUGCCCUUGACUUUGGGAUAACUUCAGGAAACUGGGGCUAAUACCGGAUAGGAGCUCCUGCUGCAUGGUGGGGGUUGGAAAGUUUCGGCGGUUGGGGAUGGACUCGCGGCUUAUCAGCUUGUUGGUGGGGUAGUGGCUUACCAAGGCUUUGACGGGUAGCCGGCCUGAGAGGGUGACCGGCCACAUUGGGACUGAGGUACGGCCCAGACUCCUACGGGAGGCAGCAGUGGGGAAUAUUGCACAAUGGGCGGAAGCCUGAUGCAGCAACGCCGCGUGCGGGAUGACGGCCUUCGGGUUGUAAACCGCUUUCGCCUGUAACGAAGCGUGAGUGACGGUAAUGGGUAAAGAAGCACCGGCUAACUACGUG